rnacentral:rRNA from 1 species
GAUGAACGCUAGCUACAGGCUUAACACAUGCAAGUCGAGGGGCAGCAUGAAUUUACUUCGGUAAAUUUGAUGGCGACCGGCGCACGGGUGCGUAACGCGUAUCCAACCUUCCCGUUACUCCGGGAUAGCCUUCCGAAAGGGAGAUUAAUACCGGAUGGUGUUUGAAGUCCGCAUGAAAUUCAAACUAAAGAUUUAUCGGUAACGGAUGGGGAUGCGUACCAUUAGAUAGUAGGCGGGGUAACGGCCCACCUAGUCGACGAUGGUUAGGGGUUCUGAGAGGAAGGUCCCCCACACUGGAACUGAGACACGGCCCAGACUCCUACGGGAGGCAGCAGUGAGGAAUAUUGGUCAAUGGGCGAGAGCCUGAACCAGCCAAGUAGCGUGCAGGAUGACGGCCCUACGGGUUGUAAACUGCUUUUAUGCGGGAAUAAAGAUAUCUACGUGUAGAUAGUUGCAUGUACCGCAUGAAUAAGGACCGGCUAAUUCCGUG